rnacentral:rRNA from 1 species
CCUACGGGCGGCAGCAAUGAGGAAUAUUGGUCAAUGGGCGAGAGCCUGAACCAGCCAAGUCGCGUGAGGGAGUACUGCCCUAUGGGUUGUAAACCUCUUUUGUCGGGGAGCAAAAGCCGGACGUGUCCGGCUGUGAGAGUACCCGAAGAAAAAGCAUCGGCUAACUCCGUGCCAGCAGCCGCGGUAAUACGGAGGAUGCGAGCGUUAUCCGGAUUUAUUGGGUUUAAAGGGUGCGCAGGCGGAUUUUUAAGUCAGCGGUAAAAUCGUGGGGCUCAACCCCAUCCAGCCGUUGAAACUGGGGAUCUAGAGUGUGCGAGAGGUAUGCGGAAUGCGUGGUGUAGCGGUGAAAUGCAUAGAUAUCACGCAGAACCCCGAUUGCGAAGGCAGCAUACCGGUGCACAACUGACGCUCAGGCACGAAAGCGUGGGUAUCGAACAGGAUUAGAUACCCCGGUAGUC